GGCGUAUUCAUCUUCAAUCUGGUGCAGUGGACCCCGGUCAAGUACCUCGGCUACUCGUAUCCCCUGUGGGCGCACGCUUUCGGUUGGUUCACCGCCCUGUCCUCGAUGUUGUGCAUCCCCGGUUACAUGAUCUGGCUCUGGAGAAACACCCCCGGCGAUCGAGCUAACAAAAUCCGACUGAUCGUCAGAAUCGAGGACAGCGUGUCCGAGCUGCGAGAGAAGAUGCAAGCCGGCCAAGAGAAGGGCAUGGAGCUGUAAGGCUCUUUAACUCCCUUCCCACCGCCCACCAACACAACCUUAGGUCUGCGAUCCGACUAUUAAUAGGUUAACAACCCAAAAAAAAACGACGACCCUAUUUCAGAUCAUGCGAAUCGAAGCAAGCGAAGCGAGAGAUUGGAUUCACAGACGAUUGCAAUACUUCCCCCAUUUCACGCACAUGCUUACUCACACUCACACACACAUAUAUAUACAGAUACACACACAUACUAUAACCUGUUUUUCAUCCAGUUUCGGUCCAUAGCGUAAUGUGACGAGUUAAUUAUGGAUAUUAUUGAAGUAUUUUACUAACAGUAAACUUUUACCAUUAACAUGAGUAUUUGAAGAGAGAAAGAGAACAGUUUAAUUUAUUUAGGGCUUAGUUAACUAAACUAAUACAAGAGGGAAACAAUGCGCACAUACACACACAGCCAAACACAAACGCACCGCUAAUUGUUAGGGAGAAACUAUUCUACACUGUUAUCUACCAUAGUUGCUGUAAAUCGUUGUGUUAAAACUAAAUGUUAGUUAAACAAUCUUCUAGAUCUAGGAUUCGAUGGAAGCUGCUACUCAGAUCAUUACUUUUUGCACAGUUUGCAAUCGUACAAUCUAAUCGGUUGUCUGAUUGUUUUAGGAGAUAUCUGUAUUUAAGUGAGUUGCACCGAGCUAAUUUUAGAACUAACGUACGAACAGUGAUGUGGCAGUUUUAAAGGUUUGUUCCAAUAGGCUAGAGCAUCAUCUCUUCACAAAAGCACACACGUACACCAAAGCAGAGCAAAAAUGAUCAUUUUGAUUCUUUACUGAGAAUACUACCACUCCAAAUACGGCGGAUCAGGCGAAGCGAAUCUGUAACGCGAGUACCCGCGACAUCUACCUAUAUAUUUCCUUUCCUUGAGACAGUGUUUGAAAGCGACAACAUCAGGAGCGUAUGAGGGGCGUGUACCACACUACUGGCGAUACAGAUCGAUCCCGAACCGGGGAACCCCAUCCACCCAAUGUAUUUAACAGUACUAAAAUCAGUAACGAAUAGAAAAUGUGAUUUGUAAGAA